GAAACACAGGAAGUCAAGAAGUAACCGUCAUAGGGAUAGAAGCCCGGAAACUUCUCCGGAAGAAGAAAGUUCCUAGAAGAACACUGUACAUUUCUGAAAAGCAUCAGAGGGAGACAAUAAAAGAAGAUGAAGAUCAAAGACAGAUGUGGUCAUGGAUACCUACAUCCCUGCACUGGGAAGAGCCAGGAGGAUCUAGAAUUCCAGUGUACAUAGCAAGUUUGAGGUCAACCUGCACCACAUAAGACCCUGUCUCAAACAGCUGUAAAAACAAAAGACUAUUAAAGUCACAUCUCUUCAAAAAUUA